GCACAAUCUCCUGCUUGGCCGUGAUGGUGAAGCUUGCAAUCAAACUCCAAAUGGUGCUGUAAACUGAACCACACAUGGACAGGCCAUUCUUCCGAGGACCCUUAGAUUGAUCCCAGGGGGAGCCCUAGCUGCUAUUCCCCAUUCAACGCCCCUUUUCAGCAGGAAGUAGCCAGAAGGAGUCGCCGCCCAAAAUCCCCUAACAGCAGUUAGUGUGGCAUCUCCACAGGAAGUAAUGUUGUAGGAGUUACUAAGAAAUUAUUUUAGGCAGAUAGAGAGGAAAAGGGGUCCUUGGGAAGUUUUCAUUUUUUAAAGCAUCUCUGGAAAAGUUUCUUGUAAAGCCCCGGCUCUUAGAGCCAGGCUGGCAACCUUUGAUAUGCAAAUGUAAGCCAUUAGAAACCAGGUCCACCCAGGCCAGGUGUGGUGGCUCACGCCUGUAAUCCCAACACUUUGGGAAGCCUAGGCAGGUGGAUCACCUGAGGUCAGGAGUUCGAGACCAGCCUGGCCAACAUGGUGAAACCCCGCCUCUAAUAAAAACACAAAAAACUAGCCAGGUGUGCUGCUGUGUGUCUGUAAUUCCAGCUACUUGGGAGGCUGAGGCAGGAGAACUGCUUGAACCCAGGAGGCAGAGGUUGCAGUGAGCUGAGAUUGCAUCAUUGCACUCCAGCCUGGGCGACAGCAAGACUCUGUAAAAAAAAAAAAAAAAAAAAAAAAAAACAGCCAGGCGUGGUAGCACGCCUGUAGUCCCAGCUACUUGGGAGGCUGAGAUGGGAGGAUCACCCUCGACUGGGGAAGUUGAGGCUGCAGUGAGCUGAAAUCGCACCACUGCACUCCAGCCUGGGUGACAGACUGAGACCCUGUCAAAUAAAUAAUGUAUGUAUGUAUAUAUGUAUGUAUGUAUGUUAACCUCAUCCCAAAACAUCCUCACAGAACAUCCAGAAUAAUGUUUGACCAAAUAUCUGGGCACCAAUGGCACAUUCAAGUUGACACAUAAAAUUAACCCUCACAAUACCGUACUGUACAACUUUUGGAGUGAAGCUGGAAUGUCAUCGCAUUUCCAAGACUAACUCAGUGUCCACAAAUGAUGCUUAAGUCAUGAGGAUCAUCUCGGAUUUGGAUUUGGAUGCCUGUCAAGCCCUCACUCUUCAGACUAAAUGUCUGAUUUGCAUGGAGAAUUAUCAAGAGAAGCAACAAUGCCAAGCAGACUAUUCCAGGUCAAAAUAGUCAAAUUAAUAAUUCAUAAAUUAUUAUAUGUUUUGAAGGUAUUGCAAAAUUAAAGUUGCAAGAACAGUACAGAUAACUUUUUUCCUGAACCAUUUGAGAGUAGGUUGCAGACCUGGUGCCCCAUCAUUUCUGAAUAUUUUAGUGUGCAUUUUCUACAAACAAGGACAUUUUCCAGCAUAACCACAAUGCACCCAUCAAUGUCGUGAAAUUAAUGUUGGUACAUUACUACCACCUAGUCCUCAGACCCUAUUCAAAUUAUACCAGUUAUCAUAAUAGUUUCUUAUAAUUUAUAGCAAAAUGAUCCAAACCAGGAGCAUGCAUUGCAUUUUUAUGAAUUUUUAAAACAAUUAAGUCUGUGUAGUGAGUGAAGCCACAGUGAUAGGAAUAUAUAAAGGCUUUGCAUCUAGAAUUUGUUCUGAAAACCCUGAGAUUCAAGUAGUACAUUAUUUCAUUUACUAUUUUACACAGAGAAGCCCUCAUUUUUAAGAGUUUGCCUUUCUGAUUUCCACCGGAAAUGAUACUAUCAGUAUCAUACUCAGAAUCUUAAUUACAUACAAGGCACUAACCUCUCACCUGUUUUCAGCUUUGUGUAAAGACAAGGGAUCAAAACAUCCCUUUCUGCUAUUUCAUACUUAAGUGUGGGAGCUGAUCCAAAGGAAGAAUAGUUUCAAAAGUUUGUAGCAAAAAAAAUUUAAAAGGUGAAGAUUUUUUCCUUGAAUGAUUCUCACCUGGCAGAUCUAUGGAAAGAUUAGCUGACUCUUUGGAUCCCUGAAUAUAGUUAAUAGAAAUUUGGAAGGACCAUGUCAAAAUUAACUAAUGUGAACUGACAAAGAUUUGGUGUUCAAAGCAAAAAUUAAACUUUGGAAAAGUGAGCAAGUACUUAAUCAGAAACAAAAAAAAAAAAAAGAAAGGAAAAGUUAGGUGAAAAUGGUUUCCAGGUGUUGUUGCUGUUAUAGUUUGAAUCAUAAAAGUUGUUAAAAGUCUGCUGUAACAAACCAUCAUAGACUGGGUGACUUAUAAAGAACAAAAAUGUAUUUCUCACAGUUCCAGAGGCUGGGAAGUCUAAGAUCAAGGCAUCAGCAGAUUCAGUGUCUGGUGAGGGCCCACUUUCUGGUUCAUAGAUGGCACCUUCUCACUGUCUCCCCACGUGAUGGAAGGGGCAAGAGGUCUCUCUUGGUACUCUUUUAUUAAGGGCACUAAUCCCAUCCAUGGGGCUCCACCUUCAUGACCUAUUCAUCUCCCAGAGGCCCUACCUGCAGAUACCAUCGUAUGGGGGAUUUGAUUUCAGCCUGUGAAUUUGGGGGAAGCGGGACAAACAUUCGUUUUGUAGCAAAAGGAGUAGAGUAAUAUCUGCCAAUAACUGGAGGAAAGAAUUGUUCUUUUAAAACUAUUAAAUUGUUUAAUGGGAUUUAAAUGAUUUCAGGAAUGAAAUGGAAAUCCUGGUAAUGGGUAGAAACAUAGGUAAAUUCUCCUUUUCCACUUACCACCACCUGUGUGAACAACAAUCAUUUCUCAUUAAUAGUCAAGAAUUUGAAGAGAUCAUGAGUAAAAAGUCUUGAUCAGAAAUUGUGUAUAGCUGUUUCCAGCAUAAAACCUUAUAUAAAAUGCAUAUUCAUAGAAGAUGCUCAAGUAUGUCAUGAAAAAUAUGAAGUUUAUUUAAAUAUUUAUACAAAUUAAAGAUUUACUGUAUUCUCUAACAGCGCGUAUUUUCUUUUUUGUAAUAACUAUAUGAAAUAAAUACAAAGUAACACGUUUUUACCAAGCCCCCUUCCCAUCCUUCUCAUCACCCUCAAACUCCCUCCAAAUAGAGUCAGAGAAACAGCCAGAGGGAUGUCUCCACUGAGACACAGGGAGGUCUUGCACCCAGGCAGUUCAGCAGUUCCUGGGCGGGUGGCCCUUCCCAUCUGAGUACCCCUCAAUGUGCCUGCUCCUCCUGGGAUCCUUUCUGCUCCCUUGGGCCUCUGUUUUUGGUCUGCAAUGGUUGGUUAUGUAGAGGGAUCAGUAUUGGGGUUGUCCCAAGCCAGGCUACAGGUUGAGCAGGUAGCCACAUAGGCCACAUAGCAGGACGGGCCCAGCUGGGGACUCUGAUGUCUGCAAUUAGGGGUGGCAGGAAGUAAUGGAUGCACAGGCGCUGACUUGGCCUGGCCUUAAGCCUUAGUCUAGCGGAAAGGUCUGGCUGUUUACCUGCCUUCCUAUUUGGAGCUGAUCCCAGGACCAAACGGGAUGCCAUCGUACCAAGGGCAGGGAGAUGAAGGGAGGCCCUCAGAAGAGAAUGAGGCCUAAAUGCCAGGUAAAGGGCAGGAAGGGGUUCAAUCCCAGCAGCACCUCCUGGUGGUAGUUGGGGAAAUAAAAUGGCCAGAGAGGAGACUGGCCCUGAAGGCAUCUCCAGAGCUUGAGUCCCUCAGUAGCCAACCUGAGCUCCUAAACCCCUCUGGACUAGGUCCCCUUCUCCACUUAACCUGCCUCCUCAAGAAAG
rnacentral:lncRNA from 1 species